GAAGAUUUAGUUAAAAUAUAACAUUAGCUUGUCAAACUAAAAUUAUUUAAGUUAAAAUAAUCUUUG
rnacentral:tRNA from 1 species